CACGUAGGCACCAAGCGUUGUCCGGAUUUAUUGGGCGUAAAGAGCUCGUAGGCGGUUCGAUAAGUCGGGUGUGAAAACUUUGGGCUCAACCCAAAGCGUGCAUUCGAUACUGUUGUGACUAGAGUUCGGUAGGGGAGUGGGGAAUUCCUAGUGUAGCGGUGAAAUGCGCAGAUAUUAGGAGGAACACCGGUGGCGAAGGCGCCACUCUGGGCCGAAACUAACGCUGAGGAGCGAAAGCGUGGGUAGCAAACAGG
rnacentral:rRNA from 1 species